CGAUUGUGCCGCUGCCGUGUGUGUGCUGGGACGGAAUGGCCGGGUAAAGAUUGGCGGGCAGUGGGAGCCGGGUUCUCGCUGUUAGAGUUGACACUUCAGGUCAGCAAGGGAAGGAGGCUCCGGAGACCCACGAGGUACUGGAUUGCACUCAGAGACAUCUCGAACUCACGUUUAACCUUCCGCGGACACAGAUGGCUCCACAGAGAAACGUGUAUGGACGUGCAUGCAGUUGGGUCACCAUAUGCACUUAUGUCUCCUUGCCGUGGCCAUUAAGAGGGCCGGAGGGACUCGGGCAACGAGGACACCAAGCACCCAGAUACCCCACUCUGAAGGAGGGGGAGCAGAACUCCUUGCUCCUGAAGUGCGCGCUGUGCAUGGAGAUUCCUUCCAGGCAGGACAGUCAGAAAAGGGGGAAAAGGAGAAACUUCACAGUGGAGAAACUGACAAAAGGCUACUGGCAGGGAAAAGCAUCAGACAAAUUCCCCUGGAGAAGCAGACUGCAAUACACCUGACCAGUACUCCUCAAAAUCCCAGACAAGGAAAGUCAGAAAUUGUCACGGCCAAGACUACUGAACCUAGAGACAUGAUAACUGCACACAGUGAGGUACCCUGGAAGAGGUCUUGGAACAGAAAAAGGAGAUGGGGCAAAGAAGAAAACCCGAAGAGAGUGUAUAAACUUUAAUUGAUAACAAUGUAUCAAAAAUUUAAAAAUAAAGAUAUAAAAAAACCACUGUGUCAAUAUUGGCUCACGAAAUGUAACAAAUUGUUACAAAUUGUUACGAA